CCUACGGGAGGCAGCAGUGAGGAAUAUUGGUCAAUGGACGAGAGUCUGAACCAGCCAAGUAGCGUGAAGGAUGACUGCCCUAUGGGUUGUAAACUUCUUGGAUAAAGGAAUAAAACGAGGCACGUGUGCCUUUUUGCAUGUACUUUAUGAAUAAGGAUCGGCUAACUCCGUGCCAGCAGCCGCGGUAAUACGGAGGAUCCGAGCGUUAUCCGGAUUUAUUGGGUUUAAAGGGAGCGUAGAUGGGUUGUUAAGUCAGUUGUGAAAGUUUGCGGCUCAACCGUAAAAUUGCAAUUGAUACUGGCAGUCGUGAGUACAGUUGAGGUAGGCGGAAUUCGUGGUGUAGCGGUGAAAUGCUUAGAUAUCACGAAGAACCCCGAUUGCGAAGGCAGCUUACUAAACUGUGACUGACAUUGAUGCUCGAAAGUGUGGGUAUCAAACAGGAUUAGAUACCCCUGUAGUC
rnacentral:rRNA from 1 species